UACGAAGGGGGCUAGCGUUGCUCGGAAUCAUUGGGCGUAAAGGGCGCGUAGGCGGCUGGCCAAGUCGGGGGUGAAAGCCUGUGGCUCAACCACAGAAUGGCACUCGAUACUGGACGGCUCGAGACCGGAAGAGGUUGGUGGAAUUGCGAGUGUAGAGGUGAAAUUCGUAGAUAUUCGCAAGAACACCGGUGGCGAAGGCGGCCAACUGGUCCGGAUCUGACGCUGAGGCGCGAAAGCGUGGGGAGCAAACAGG
rnacentral:rRNA from 1 species